GGUUGUUGAAAUUUUUGGGUGUUGGAAUUCUCCGUUUUCCCCCCCUUCAGUUCUUAAAUCUUCAUCUUUCUCUCUGCUUUCAAUUCUUGUUUUCUCUGAAACCCUAAUCAUGUCCAUGGGAUCCACUUCUACUCGUCGCAUUUCUGUUCAUCAAGUGCUCGGCGGUGGUCCUGUCGCUGAUAUGCUCUUAUGGAAGAAAUGGUGUGGCGGGGCUGUCAUACUCACGUCUACAACAGCUUUGUGGUACCUGUUUGAAAGAGCCGGUUACAACUUCUUAUCUUUUGUUGCCAAUGUUCUAUUGCUUCUUGUCCUCAUUCUGUUCGUCUGGGCCAAAUCUGCUUCCCUUCUCAAUAGACCUCUGCCUCCGCUUCCUGAUCUGGAAAUUUCUGAGGAAUCUGUUUCGAUAGUUGCUGAUGAACUGCGAUUGUGGGUCAAUUUUGCACUGUCAAUUGCACGUGAUAUUGCAAUAGGAAGAAACCUUAAGCUCUUUCUUCAGGUUGCUCUUGGACUAUGGAUUUCAUCAUUCAUUGGCAGUUUCUUCAAUUUUCUUACACUGGUCUAUUUUGGGGUCCUUCUCAGUCUUUCAGCUCCACUAGUGUACGAUAAGUACCAGGAUCCCAUUGAUGAAAAGUUGUGUGUAACACAUAGAUAUGUACAAAUGCAAUACAGGAAGCUUGAUGAGAAUGUCUUAAGGAAGUUACCAUUACCCUUAAACAAGGAGAAGAAGAUGCAAUAGGCACAGCACUCGCUUGAUUAUCAGUAACUUCAAAAGAAGUGUAAUGACAAAGAAAAAUGACCCAUCUCAUGUGACACACAUAUCCAAAGGACGAACGGGGAAGGCAAAGAGCAUGCAGUCAUGCGUCUCUUAGGGAGACCAACAACACUUUCUGGACAACAGGUUGGCCUUACAGACCCAUUAUAUCAAUUUUAUCGCUUUCAAAAUCACUCUCCUUUCUGAUCAACAAACUUAUUAUCAAUCUCAGUUUGAUCAUGAUGAAUGCUUCUCAAAUUUUUUAUUUUUCAUUUGUUUUUUGCCCAUUUGAUCACCAUUUUUCAAGAGUAUGCUUAUGUUCUUACCAUUUCUCUAUGGGAUUUGAAAAUUUGAUAGUGAAAAAGACAGGAUUUUAGGGAUGGAAUCUUUGACAGUGCAGUGUGGGAAUCAGGGCUUGGGUUGGUGUUGGUGUUGGUGUUGGUGGUGGGGUGGUCCUAUAAAUGCUUAUAGGACCAUCCCAUAUUUAUCAUCUUUCUAAGGUCCAUAAUUUCCUUUUUCUUUUUUCUUAGGAUAAAU